CCUAGGUUACACACAGAGGACUGGUUCCUAUUCUUCUGCCUAGGGGAAAGUCCCUGGACCUAGGGCAAAGAGUGCCAUGUGCACACACAUGUGGACAUCCCUCCAUUUCUCACUGUUAAAACCUGCCAAGAAGGGAAUCUUGCCAACAAAAGUAGUCUUAAGAGGGAAAUUUAUCACAUUAGAUA
rnacentral:RNase_MRP_RNA from 2 species